AAUGCGAUACUUGGUGUGAAUUGCAUAAUCCCAUGAACCAUCGAGUCUUUGAACGCAAGUAGCGCCCGAAGCCUUCGAGCCGAGGGUACGUCUGCCUGGGCGUCACGCAUCGCGUCUCCCCCCCACACGCACUCCGUGCGGGGCGAGGGGGAGGAGGAUGGUCUCCCAUGCCUCACCAGGUAUGGCAGGCCUAAUAACGGAGCCUCGGGUCACGGACUGCUGCGGCGUAUGGUGGUAUACAAGGCCUUUCCUAGGAAGCAUCGUGUCGUGCAGCACGUAGCCCGCGAGGACUCGAAGGACCCUGAAGUUUGUCACCUCACGGAGGCAAAACCGUUGCGACCCCAGGUCAGGCGGGGCUACCCGGUGAGUUUAA
rnacentral:misc_RNA from 1 species